rnacentral:ribozyme from 1 species
UGUGAUGGAUGCGGUCUAUGACCGCAGUAAACAACAAUCCAGGUCCAAAGUCCUG